rnacentral:rRNA from 1 species
AGGACGAACGCUGGCGGCGUGCCUAAAGCAUGCAAGUCGAACGGCCUAGCAAUAGGCAGUGGCGAACGGCGGAGUAAUACAUAAACAACGUGCCCCGAAGACUGGGAUAUACGACAGAAAUGACGAGCAAUACCGGAUGUGACCUUUUUUGGCAUCAAGAGAAGAUUAAAUGGUUUUUCGCUUCAGGAGCGGUUUAUGGCCUAUCAGGUAGUUGGUGGGGUAAUGGCCUACCAAGCCGACGACGGGUAGCGGGUCUGAGAGGAUGAUCCGCUCGAGUGGGACUGAGACACGGCCCACACACCUACGGGUGGCAGCAGCUAGGAAUCUUGCACAAUGGGGGCAACCCUGAUGCAGCGACGCCGCGUGGAGGAUGAAGGGUCUAGGCUCGGUAAACUCCUUUUGACUAGGAAAGACUUAGGACGGUACCUGUCGAAUAAGGUCCGGCUAACUACGUGCCAGCAGCCGC